rnacentral:lncRNA from 1 species
GUUAAAUGAAGAAGUUUCUAGACAACAUUUUUUUUAAAGUUUGUCAAGGUCCUUUAUUAUACAUUUUAGGAAAUUGAGGCCCUCAGAAAUCAAGUUACUUGCUCAAGAGUCUAUCAUAACUAGAGAAUGAAGAACUAAAAGGAGCAAUGGGUUAUCAUGUGCUUUUUAAGUGUCUCCAAUGUGGUUUAUUCAAUCUGAAUGCUAGUAAAACAAUGACAUUGAUUGUACAGAAAACCAGUGGGUGGACGGCAGGAAUGGUUCUCAUCACCACUAAUCCAGAGGAGAUCUGA